rnacentral:rRNA from 1 species
UACAGAGGGUGCAAGCGUUAUUCGGAAUCACUGGGCGUAAAGCGCAUGCAGGUUGAUUAUUAAGUCAGAUGUGAAAUCCCGGGGCUUAACUUCGGAAUUGCAUUUGAAACUGGUAGUCUUGAGUAUGGGAGAGGGAAGUGGAAUUCCAGGUGUAGAGGUGAAAUUCGUAGAUAUCUGGAGGAACACCCGAGGCGAAGGCGGCUUCCUGGCCCAUUACUGACACUCAGAUGCGAAAGCGUGGGUAGCAAACAGG